GAAGAUUGUUUAACAAGUGCGAAGGGAAAAGGGGAUUAAAGUUGUUUUCACAAACGAAGCAAUCAUAUUGUUGAAGUCUCGGUUGACAAAAUGGCAUGCAGCUCAAAGACACCCUCGAGAAGUAGAGAUGACGGUUUCAGGCAACUGUUGCCAUGGUUGAACGGGGGAAGGUCAUAUUUACAAGCAAAACAGCAAGACUUUCGAACAGUAAUCUUUCCAGGAAUGCUGGGCGAACAAAAUAAAGCUGCCGUCGAG